GGUUGUGUCCGAGCACUACGUGCCAAGCGAUCCGCCUUUAUGUUUUCCGUCCUUGGAACAUGAACAAUCUCUGAGUUGGUAAAGCUUCUUCUCAAAAACUUAAUGUCAUCCAGGUAGCUUUCAAAUGCCGGCCAUUCUUCUGGUUCCGAAACCAUCUUCACCAAUUGAGAACAAUCCGUUGCAAAUGUGACCCGGUACUGUCGUAAGUUCUUCAUACACUCCAUUGCCCAAAUUAGAGCCUCCAACUCCAUAUGAAGAGGUGAGAAACUUGCCCUUACAUUCCUUGCCCCAAACAAACCCUCAAACCCCGGAAGCGUGCUGAACUAGCCUUGUCCUGAGAAAAAAUCCUUAUCUUUCCAAAAACCGUCAGUGAAACACCAUCUUCCUGUAGUCUGUGAGUUAACUCUGAACUGCGCUUCAGGGGCCAUCCUGGAAUCAUUAACAAUUUGUGCAUCCGUUCAAAGUGUUGAUUCCAAUUCAGCUAAGUUUAGUGUUUCUCUCGGGUCAACAUCAAUAUUACUAAAAACUUUAUUAUUCUGACCCUUUCAAAUGUACCAUAGAAUCCAUGCAAAUUGAUGAUCCUCCAUUUUGGAUUAACUCUCCAAAACAGAUGAUCCAUAUUAGCAAAUAUCGAACCCAAAAGGAAAAUAUUUGGGUUUGAUGGAAUCUUUGAUAGUGCUCACACUUGCCGUGCCGGAGGACAUUCAAAAAACACAUGAUUUAUUGAUUCCUCCGGAUCACCACACCUUGCACAUCUUGUAUCUCCUUGUAUUCCACGUGAUUUUAAAUUUUUGCUCACUGCUAUACUACCUGUCAACAACUGCCAUAGAAAAUGCCUUAACUUUGGAGGGCACUUCACUUUCCAAUAGAAUGUCUUAAGAAUAUCCACGUUGGGUCCAUAAAAUUCUGGUUGAUACCCUGAUUGUACCGUAUAUGUCCCAUUUUUAGUGAAAUGUCAUCCAUUCCUAUCAUUUAACAGAUUUCUACUCAGAAGAAGACUUUCAAUCAUUUCUGCAUCAUUGGGUUCCACCAAAGUCCUAAUUGCCUGUAAAUUCCAUGUUCGGGAUUCCUGAUGAAUGAGGGAAUCCACUGUGAGGUCCGGAUAGCUAUCGUGAAAAUUUUUGUUUUCUGGUCUCGGGCGGGUGGAUGGGAGCCAUGGGUCAUUCCAUACUGAGAUAGAUGUCCCUGUUCCAACCCUUUUAAUUAGUCCUUUACAAGCCAGAGAUCUAGCAGAGAUAAUACUCCUCCAGCCAUACGACGGGGAAUAUGAGUGAAUCGGUUCCAGGGAUGAAGCAUUCCUGUAGUACCGUCCUUUGAAGAUUAUCGCGAGAAAAGAGAAUUUGGCUUCUCAAUCAACCUCCACAGCUGCUUUCCCAACAUUGAUAUAUUAAAAUCGGUCAAAUCUUUGAAACCUAGCCCACCAUUAUCCUUAUGGACACAUAAUUUAUUCCAUGAUUUCCAAUGCAUACCCCUUGUACUUCCUCCUGGGCUCCACCAAAACUGAGCUACUGCACUCGUUAAUUUCUUCACUAUAGCUUUCGGUAAUCGAUACACCGACAUCACAUGAUUUGGCAGAGCCGUGAUAACCGACUUAAUAAUCACCUCUUUCCCCCCUUUUGUAAAAAAUCGAAGAGUCCAGCCAUUCACCCUAUUAUUCAGACGAUCUUGUACAAAACCAAACACUUGAACCUUAGAUCUCCAUAAACUUUCUGACAAGCCUAAAUAAGAACCCAUACCUCCUAGGUUCUGAAUCCCCAAAAUAUCUUUCAACUCUUGCCUAUUGAAUUCCUCAAUUUUAUGUCCAAAUUGAAUUGAGGAUUUCUGAAAGUUGAUUUGUUGUCCUGAUACAGUCUCAUACUCCUUUAGUAUCCUAAGAAUAGUCUGACACUCUUCUUUGUUUGCCUUACAGAAGAACAAACUAUCAUCUGCAAAUAGCAAAUGAGAAACUGGUGGACACGCUCUUGCUACCUUCAUACCAGUUAAAUGUUUCUCCCGCUCCGCUUUUUUUAUAUUCGUGAUUAAAGCCUCAGUACACAUAAUAAAUAAAUAAGGAGAUAAUGGAUCUCCUUGACGUAAUCCCCGCUGAGGUAUUAUAAGGCCUCUCGGUUGCCCAUUAAGAAGAACUCUAUAUUGAACUGAAGAUAUACACCCUCGCAUUAAUUUAACCCAAUGAGAAUCAAAUCCCAUUUUUUGAAGAAGAGCCUCGAUAAAAUCCCACUCUACCCGAUCAUAUGCCUUACUCAUAUCCGUUUUAAUUGCCAUAAACUUAUUUUGACAGGAUUUGUUGGUUCGUAAACCAUGGAACAUUUCCUGUGCAAUAAGAAUAUUAUCCGAUAUUAACCUUCCUGCCACAAAAGCCGAUUGUGUUUCUGAAAUUAGAUGGGGAAGACAAUUCUUCAACCUUUGGCACAACACUUUCGAGAUAAUCUUAUAACCAACGUUACAUAGACUUAUCGGUCUCAGUUCCGUCAUCCUUGUAGGUCUUUCUAUUUUUGGUAUCAUGCAGAUAUUAGUUAUGUUCAACCGUGAAUCCAUAUUUCCUGUAACCAAGAAAUUAUUUACCAACUCAACCACAUCCUUUUUAAUGACAUUCCAGGAGUGCUGAAAGAAGAGAGCCGUCAUUCCAUCUGGGCCUGGCGCCUUCUCUGGAUGCAUCAUGAAUAAAGCUUGACGGACUUCUUCCUCCGUUGCUACUCGCAGUAGCAUAAGAUUCAAGCUUGACGGACUUCUUCCUCCGUUGCUACUCGCAGUAGCAUAAGAUUCAUCUGUGGGGAAAUUGAUGGUCCUAUCUCCUCCAAAAAACUAUCAAACUCCCCCGGGUUAGUUGAACUAAACAAACCAUCAAAAUAAUCUACCACCACCUUUUCCACACCAUUUUCUUCUGUAACCCAAUUACCCGCCUCAUCAUAGAGACCCACUAUUUUAUUUCGGAUCCGACGUUGCUUUGUCAAAGCAUGAUAAAACUUAGUAUUAAGAUCCCCAGAUGAAUGCCACAUAUUCCUACUCUUCUGAUGCCAGUAUUCCUCCUCAUCCUUAUAGGCCUCUUGUAAUUUCUUGGAAAUGUCAAUAAUAUCCUCUUGUGUUCUAUUGUCAUCUGUUUGUACUUCUUCCAGUGCCUUUUGGAGAUCCUGAAUUUUGUCUUUUCCAUAUGGUUGGUUGUUUUUUCGCCAUGAAGAUAUUUCAUGCCGACAAUUAUUAAUCUUAGUAAUAAAAUCUGCUGAUGAUCCUUCCGCAAUUCCUGACGGCUUGAUUCCUCAAUCUUAUGUCCAAAUUGAAUUGAGGAUUUUUGAAAAUUAAUUUGUUGUCCUGAUACAGCCUCAUAAUCCUUUAGUAUCCUAAGAAUAGUGUGGCACUCUUCUUUGUUUGCCUUGCAAAAGAACAAACUAUCAUCUGCAAAUAGCAAGUGAGAGAUAGCUGGACACGCUCUGGCUACCUUCAUACCGGUCAAUUGUUUCAUCCGCUCUGCUUUUUUUAUAUUCAUAAUUAGAGCCUCUGUACACAUAAUAAAUAAAUAAGGAGAUAAUGGAUCCCCCUGCCGUAGUCCCCGCUGAGGUAUAAUGAGACCUCGUGGCUGCCCAUUGAGUAAAACUCUAUAUUGAACUGAAGAUAUACACUCUCGCAUUAAUUUAACCCAAUGCGGAUCAAAUCCCAUUUUAUUAAGUAAGGCCUCUAUAAAAUCCCACUCUACCCGAUCAUAUGCCUUACUCAUAUCCGUUUUAAUUGCCAUAAACUUAUUUUGACAGGAUUUGUUGGUUCGCAAACCAUGGAACAUUUCCUGCGCAAUAAGAAUAUUAUCCGAUAUUAAUCUUCCUGCCACAAAAGCCGAUUGUGUUUCCGAAAUUAGAUGGAGAAGACAUUUUUUCAACCUUUGACACAACACUUUCGAGAUAAUCUUAUAACCAACGUUACAUAGACUUAUCGGUCUCAGUUCCAUCAUCCUUGUAGGUCUUUCAAUUUUCGGUAUCAUGCAGAUAUUAGUUAUGUUCAACCGUGAAUCCAUAUCUCCUGUAACCAAGAAAUUAUUUACCAACUCAACCACAUCCUUUUUAAUGACAUUCCAGGAGUGCUGAAAGAAGAGAGCCGUCAUUCCAUCUGGGCCUGGCGCCUUCUCUGGAUGCAUCAUGAAUAAAGCUUGACGGACUUCUUCCUCCGUUGCUACUCGCAGUAGCAUAAGAUUCAUCUGUGGGGAAAUUGAUGGUCCUAUCUCCUCCAAAAAACUAUCAAACUCCCCCGGGUUAGUUGAACUAAACAAACCAUCAAAAUAAUCUACCACCACCUUUUCCACACCAUUUUCUUCUGUAACCCAAUUACCCGCCUCAUCAUAGAGACCCACUAUUUUAUUUCGGAUCCGACGUUGCUUUGUCAAAGCAUGAUAAAACUUAGUAUUAAGAUCCCCAGAUGAAUGCCACAUAUUCCUACUCUUCUGAUGCCAGUAUUCCUCCUCAUCCUUAUAGGCCUCUUGUAAUUUCUUGGAAAUGUCAAUAAUAUCCUCUUGUGUUCUAUUGUCAUCUGUUUGUACUUCUUCCAGUGCCUUUUGGAGAUCCUGAAUUUUGUCUUUUCCAUAUGGUUGGUUGUUUUUUCGCCAUGAAGAUAUUUCAUGCCGACAAUUAUUAAUCUUAGUAAUAAAAUCUGCUGAUGAUCCUUCCUGAUUUUCUGUCCAACCCGAUACAAUUGAUUCCAUGAGUCCCUCUUGGCCAAUCCAUCGCUUAUCAAACCUGAACUGUCCUCUUCUCCUUCUUGUUAAUUUAUCUUCUAAAAAAGCUACCACAGGUCGAUGAUCUGAGCCCACCAGCCUCAAAUAUUCUGUAUAAGAGUAUGGGAAAAGUGUAUGCCAUUCCUCAUUAGCCAAGGCUCUAUCCAGUCGGCAUCUGACUGUAAAAGCUCCUUUCCCUUUACCUCUCCGUCCUUGCCAUGACAUUUUGUUACCACGAGCUGGGAAUUCCAAUAAACCACUGUUCCUUAUCAUAUUAUUAAAAGGAAUAAAAGAGGUUGCACUUCGUAAAGGUCCCCCAUCCUUUUCAUGAUUCCCGGUAAUUUCAUUUAGAUCACCAAUUACAAACCAAGGAUCAGACCUUGCGAGUCCAUACCUAGUCAAUCUUUCCCAUACAUGUUCUCUUAGCUCUUGAACCGGAUCUCCAUAAACAAAGGUAAGGAAAACUUGUUUUCCAUUGCUCACUGCUUCAAUAUCAAUCAUUCUAUUGCUAGAGUAAAGAAUCUUUACUUGAUACUCAUUGUUAUAAAAAAGAGCUAAACCACCACUCCUCCCAUUCGGAUCCACCGUAACCAGACUAUCGUAUCCAAAGUGAGAUUGAAAUUUCUGAACAAAUUCAAAAUCCUGUUUCGUUUCCGAUAAAAACAAAAAGUCUGGUUUAUGUUUUUGCCGUAUUUCCCGUAAAUAACUUAUGGUCCAAUGACUUCCAAGUCCUCUGCAAUUCCAACUUAGUAUUUUCAUAUAAAAAAAUAUAUUUUUAAGCGGAAAGGCUUAGGAUUUUUUUUUUUUUUGACAGCAAGAAAAUUUACAGACUCAUAUAGACUCUGUAAACCAAUGUGGUAACUCCGCAUCCAUGUGUACGACGAAAGACGGUUGUGUCCGAGCACUACGUGCCAAGCGAUCCGCCUUUAUGUUUUCCGUCCUUGGAACAUGAACAAUCUCUGAGUUGGUAAAGCUUCUUCUCAAAAACUUAAUGUCAUCCAGGUAGCUUUCAAAUGCCGGCCAUUCUUCUGGUUCAGAAACCAUCUUCACCAAUUGAGAACAAUCCGUUGCAAACGUGACCCGGUACUGUCGUAAGUUCUUCAUACACUCCAUUGCCCAAAUUAGAGCCUCCAACUCCGCAUGAAGAGGUGAAAGACUUGCCCUUACAUUUCUUGCCCCUAACAAACCCUCAAACUCCGGAAGCGUGCUGAACCAGCCUUGUCCUGAGAAAUAAUCCUUGUCUUUCCAAGAACCGUCAAUGAAACACCAUCUUCCUGUAGUCUGUGAGUUAACUCUGAACUGCGC
rnacentral:lncRNA from 1 species